rnacentral:rRNA from 1 species
UGGGGAAUAUUGCACAAUGGGCGCAAGCCUGAUGCAGCCAUGCCGCGUGUGUGAAGAAGGCCUUCGGGUUGUAAAGCACUUUCAGCGGGGAGGAAGGCGUUAAGGUUAAUAACCUUGGCGAUUGACGUUACCCGCAGAAGAAGCACCGGCUAACUCCGUGCCAGCAGCCGCGGUAAUACGGAGGGUGCAAGCGUUAAUCGGAAUUACUGGGCGUAAAGCGCACGCAGGCGGUCUGUCAAGUCGGAUGUGAAAUCCCCGGGCUCAACCUGGGGACUGCAUUCGAAACUGGCAGGCUAGAGUCUUGUAGAGGGGGGUAGAAUUCCAGGUGUAGCGGUGGAAUGCGUAGAGAUCUGGAGGAAUACCGGUGGCGAAAGCGGCCCCCUGGACAAAGACUGACGCUCAGGUGCGAAAGAGUGGGGAGCAAACAGG